rnacentral:rRNA from 1 species
UGCGAACUCCUACGGGAGGCAGCAGUGGGGAAUUUUGGACAAUGGGGGAAACCCUGAUCCAGCCAUGCCGCGUGAGUGAAGAAGGCCUUCGGGUUGUAAAGCUCUUUCAGCCGGAACGAAACGGUCACGGUUAAUACCUGUGACUACUGACGGUACCGGAAGAAGAAGCACCGGCUAACUACGUGCCAGCAGCCGCGGUAAUACGUAGGGUGCGAGCGUUAAUCGGAAUUACUGGGCGUAAAGCGUGCGCAGGCGGUUUUGUAAGUCAGAUGUGAAAUCCCCGGGCUUAACCUGGGAACUGCGUUUGAAACUACAAGGCUAGAGUGUGGCAGAGGGGGGUGGAAUUCCACGUGUAGCAGUGAAAUGCGUAGAGAUGUGGAGGAACACCGAUGGCGAAGGCAGCCCCCUGGGUUAACACUGACGCUCAGGCACGAAAGCGUGGGGAGCAAACAGGAUUAGAAACCUGUGUAGUCAGAUG